rnacentral:tRNA from 10 species
CUUGUAAAGUCCUUCUUAGAGAGACAGAUCCUUUCUAAGGGGAAGAUAUAAUACACGACAGGUAGAACUUGUGUGCAGAGCGCGGUCCAUGCCCAGUGUAUUGAGAAGGUGGGCAGAAAAUCUCCUGGAAAAGCAUGCAUGGGAACCAGCACGAGGUUGCCUUCUAAUUCACGUGUCUCAUCAUUUCACUGAAGAUGUAUGGAACGCUUCCCCCUUUCAAAGUGUUAAGUACUUUGCUGUCAGCAUCACCAUCACAGCCUGCGAACUCGACACUAAAGAGAGAGAAGUGGAAAAGGCAAAGUAAGAACAAAAGCCAGCCACGUCACAGGGCUCAGAACUCGUCCUGACAGCUGGCCCCUCCCUCCCCAGGCCUGACAUGAAAGGGUCCUUUCCAAGCUCGCUGGAGACUCUCUGACCCCCAUUUCUUCCGGUCCUGAGCCCCAGCUAUUGUGGUUUCCCUGCGGACACCUCACAUAUCACCGACAGCAGACCAGAAUCCCGAGCCUUCUGUUCUUCACAUAUUUCCCACACCUUUUUUACCCUACAACUGUCAUCUUUGGCUUUCUUUAAAAAUUUCUACUCUUUAUAUUACGAGGUGUUAAAAACAGGGAGGUGGGGGCGUGGAUCUUAGCUCAAUUAGGGAACUCUGGAGUCAGCUUUCUCCCGACAGCAACACCCCCAUUCCUCACCCUGCCCCAAGAUCAAGUUCUAAACCUGGAGCGUUCCACCAACCCGCUUGCCCUCAUUCUCUGCGGUGCAUACCCCCAGAUCUCUCCUGUUAAGUCUCCCAGUUAUCCCCAAUUUCGUGAUCUGUGGUUGGUGCUCUAAAGAAACAGGCAGGAUCUCGCUAGCACCCUAAUCUUGAAGCUCUGACUGCGUGGGUCAGGGAGCUCUGAGAAAGGAAAGCCUGUGCAGAAGGUUGAGGUAGAAGGAGGUGUGUGCAUCGCAGCUUAAUCCCCACUCUCUGGGCUGCAGGUGAUUCUAAGGCACUCGCAAGUACACCACAUAUAGUACACGCACUCCUCCGUGCCUUUUCUCAGGCUCUUUCCUCUGCCUGGGAUUUCUUUCUCUACUUUUUUUUUGUGGGGAGAUAUUCUUGGUUCUCAUUCAUGGAUCAUUCAGGGUUAACCCCUUUUUUCAUGCUUUCCCCAGUGAUCUUGAGGCUGACUUAAUCCCUCUCUCCUGUGAUUCCCUGUUGCCCUUAGCCAUAGACAAAGCAUGUGGGGACAGGGGGUGGUUCUUCCACUAGUUUGCAGGCUUGUCUGUGAGAUCUGGUUCUCAUUUAUCUUAACAUUCCUAGUGCCAAGAGUGAUACCAAGACACAAAGUAGGUCCUGAAUGAGGCCAGAGUGAAUGUAACUCCCAAAGCAAGCCAGCACUUUCCAAGGGUCACCUUGACCUUUCUAAACACAGUCCCAGGGCUUUGUGGGAAGAGGACUGACAUCUAUUAGUACCCACUAUGUGCUAAACGCUGCGAUAAGUCCCUUACACCUGUUCCUUCACUUAAUUCUUAGAGUAAGUGAAAUGGGCAUUUUCAUUCUUUUUAAGAGAUGCAGAAUUACUUACAGAGGUUAAGGUAGCUUAGGCUGAAAAAUUGCAGAUUUCCUAUGCAAACCCACGUUUCUCUGGCUCUAAAGGAUGUAUGUUUUCCCAGCCUUUGCUGUCUCCUCAGGGAGCUGAGCAGGAAAAGAGUAUUUCCUCUUCGCCAGGAGCACCCACUUCUGAGACCUACUUUGUUCCAGCUUCAUGGGGAUUUGUCCAUCCCUUUUGCAGAGAUUGAUGGACCCUGCAUGGGGGAGAUCGGGUACAUUCCCUUCCUUCAGGGUACCUCUUUUAAGUCUCUGAUGUAAACAAACAAUUUCUGACCAAAUCCCAGUUUCUCUGUUAUGCACUGUCUUCUAUUUUCCGGCCACGUCUGCAAUCGGUUGUAUGGAGAAAGUCUGCCUGGCUCUGGAGUGGAAACUCCACGAAUUCACUUUGAAUGUGGGGAAUUCACAAUCGCUGCUUGAAAACAGUCCCUCUGAGCUGGCCCACCCCGCUUCUCUCUUGUUAAAAUGCCACUUAUUUGGCUUUUCAGCCAUAUACAGGUUUUAUACGAUCUAUUAUGUGGUGCUUUAAUUACUGUUGUUUAUUGAUUAUGAUUGUAUUCGAAUUUCCAUGGAUUGCCAAGAAUGACUUGGCAAAGGGCACACAAAGACAAUAUUAUAAUAUCAUUACCAGGAAGGCAGUAGGCCUGGGUUACAGUGUGAAAAGCUAAGUAGCAACUGAAGGGAAGGGACGGUCCUCCUGACUGGUGUGGCUGGCGUGUAAUUGUGAGUCUGCAGUGGGUUGCUCAUGGGGCCUUUGUUUGGAGUAAAUGCUCCUAGAAGGAAGCAGCUGAGAAUCUUCCCCAGUGUUGUGUAGCACUUGGUAGGACUUCAGUGAAAUGUGCUGUACUUCCCGUACAAAAAUAGCAGCCCGCUCUCAGUGUGUUUGCCAGCAAUAAUGAUGCCUGUGCUGGGAUCCGGCUAUAUAUACCUUUUCACCGGAUUCCCACUGUGAUCAGGGCCACAGAUCCAGAGAAAGAAACUGUCCCACAUGAGGACCAUUGCUCUCCACUCAUCAGCCUCAUAUUAUAAGUGGCCACCAGCAGGCAGGGUUCAUUUACACUAAACCUCAAUGCUCUGUGAAAGGGCUUUGCUAGAAGCUGUACUCGCUGGACCAUCACAGCUCGCUUAUUGGCCACUGAUUUAUUGAAAUUUUCAUAAACGCCCGUCCUGUGGUAGGUACUCCUCUCUCCCACCCGCCAACCUUAGUAGUUAGGGAUAAGGAGUACAUGGUCGUAGCUACAAGGAAUUUAAAGAUCUAGCGCCUAUCUUCAUGGAGCUCAGCAUCUGGUGGGGGUAGACAGAAACCGAAAACAACAACGUCACCCAAUAGGUGUUCAGGGUUUGACUUCAUCACCCUCUACACUCUGAUAAUACUAGGUCAUUACCAAGUGGUCUGCAUUCACGUUCGGAGCUGCAGAAUCAAAAUGUCAAUGCAUUCCCUGCCCCCAGAAUCACAUAUUUAUUCUCAGAAAAGAUGAGCUAAAAAUCAGCUCUUUGAGGAAGGAGCCACUUCGCUUGCUCACAGUUCCAGUGGUUACUAGUCUCUGCCUUCAGUCAGAGAAGGCAUCCUGCUUCUUCCUUCAGAACUUUGGGCUUUUUGGCAGAAAAGAUACUGGAGGAAAAGUGUAGAUCUGCCAGAAUUGAAUAAAAACAUCGUCAGAGAGGACAGAUAAAAGGGAACAGAGCAGCAGGUCCUAAAUGGGCAGAUAGGCAGCCCUAUGAAGAGAGCCGCCUUCAGGGUAGUAGGUCGAGGACUGAGCAGAGGUCUGGGGUGGUGGGCAUGGGGGGAGAGUCAGGGCACAGCCUUCUCCACGGAGAAAUGGAGGAAGCCAGCCGUAUGUGUGCAGGGUGGCUAGGUGCCAGGCGGGCACGGGGAAUCUUCAAGGGGAUAAAUACUCAGAGAUUUCCAACCCUUUUGGGAUGAGUGCCAGGGAAAGAGGCCAAGAUUCCAGGGAACACAGCCAGGACAGGGUUAUUAUAAUCCCUAGGAGGAUUCAUUUGCCAGCUACUGAAGCAAAAGCAAGCAGCACCCUGAAAUGGAGACUAGCUAUUUCGGAGCAAUUAGCCAUUGGUGCCUGCUGCUGUCUUUGGAGAAGCUCCAGAAGCCAGUAGGGUAGAAAGGAGGGCAGGGAGCCCUGGUCUGCUGCAGGGGAGAUGACUCCAUCUUUGGUAUCUCCCCACCUGACAGCUCCCUGCAAAUCCAACACCAGACCUGAGAUCCGAAGGGCUUCUGCUCCUACUGGGUUCAUGCCCUGCCCUCAGGACAGCACUGAGCCAUCACAGGCGACACAUAAACAGAACAGUCCCUGGCUGCCCAAGAGCGUAAAGUCCAGAAUGUUAGAGCUGACCAGAUUCUCUUCUCACAUCAGGAUUUUGAGCCUGGCACACAUUAAUACUUUAGAGAAUUUGCCUUUGGGGGACAAUGAAUCACCCCAAAUUAUUCUAUGUAUACGCAUUGUAUAUGUAUAUGUAUAAAAUUGUUCUAUGUAUAUGCAUUUUUUUUUCUGGUGAGAAGAUCCAAAUAUUUAUU